GAAUAAUGCGAAUUCUAAUCGGAAAAAAUGCAAUAAAUCAGAGAUUUGAGUGUGAAUAAUCCUAAAGAUCCACCAGCUACUCAGCUGCAGAAAUCUUCCAAAAUUCGAAUUGCUCGCUAAGUGGCAAAGUGCCGGAGAGAGAUCGGAAAAGAGAGAAAAAUGAGUAGAGGUUUUGCUAAUGGCAGCGAGCAACCUCUGUAAUAAUAAGAAGAAAGAAAAUGGGAGGAACGGUAGAGGAGAUCAU
rnacentral:misc_RNA from 1 species